rnacentral:tRNA from 1 species
GCUAACGUAGCUUAACUAAAGCAUAACACUGAAGAUGUUAAGACAAAUCCUAAAAUGAUUUCGCAAGCA